rnacentral:misc_RNA from 1 species
UACGAACCGCCCAAACGUUAUUCGGAAUCACUGGGCUUAAAGGGUGCGCAGGCGGCUUGGCAGGUGGGAUGUGAAAGCCCUCGGCUCAACCGAGGAAUUGCGUCCCAAACCGCCAAGCUUGAGGGAGACAGAGGUGAGCGGAACGAAUGGUGGAGCGGUGAAAUGCGUUGAUAUCAUUCGGAACACCCGUGGCGAAAGCGGCUCACUGGGUCUCUUCUGACGCUCAGGCACGAAAGCCAGGGUAGCGAACGGG